rnacentral:rRNA from 1 species
AGAGUUUGAUCCUGGCUCAGAACGAACGCUGGCGGCAGGCCUCAAACAUGCAAGUCUAGGGGGUGUAGCAAUACAUCACCGGCGGACGGGUGCGUAACGCGUGGGAAUAUACCUAUUGGUUCGGAACAACGCAGGGAAACUUGCGCUAAUACCGAAUGUGCUCACGGGGAAAGAUUUAUCGCCAAUGGAUUAGCCCGCGU